CUCCUACCUCCUCUUCAGGAAGACAGCUGUGAGAGAUACUUUAUGGCUCUUUAGAAUAUCCCAGCAGCAUCAAGCCUUGGGCAUUCACAAUGACGAUCAACUUGAUAACAUGGCCUUUUCUCCCUUCUUUCUCUUCUGUUUUCUAGAUUGUCUCUUAAGUAAGCUGUCUUAAGGGGCCAUCCGGGAUUAGUCUUGCCUGUUACAUGCUUCAUUGGAAGUUCUUAAGGCUACAGUUGGGCUUGAAGAUUUGCAAGAAAGACUCACAGAACUCAAAAGAGCUGGCUUUAAGAUAUCUUGAAACCAGGAAGAGCUUGCUGAAGGGCGGACAUGACUAUGUCUGUCAUUGUAAAAGAACGGCCCUGAUGAUAAAUUGAUAAUUUGACUGAAGAACUCUCUUUAGCACUUUUUUGUAGAAAAGACCUGGUGUUGAUGAAGUUCUUCAGCUUUUGUCUGGAUGCUGCUAGGAACGUUGUGUCCUGUCUGUGAGCUCCUAUGUGCUGAGCAAAUGAACAUAGCAUGUGACUUUUGGAAGAAUGAUUCAGAGACCACUUUGGAAAAAAGAUGUGCUUUUACCAGACACAAAUGAAGAUCACAUGAUUUGUCCAGUGUUUCCUCCAAGCCCUCAAAUUGUAAGAGAACCCAAGUCACUAAACGUCAAAGGACAUGCCAAUAUGGAAGAAGCCCAGAGGUCCAGGGACAGGGCCUCAAGACGGAAGAAGUAUGAUACCCUACAAGAAGCAAG
rnacentral:lncRNA from 1 species